rnacentral:lncRNA from 1 species
UUCAUCAUUUCUCUCCUUCUCAUCUGCUUGGAAGCUCUCUAAGCUGAAUUGGGACUUUGUCUUCUUUGUAGAAAAGAUAGCAAGGACCCUAAGUGAGCUUCUUUCAUUCUUUUUAUUGCCUUUUUCCUUAUGUAGUGCAGAAAGUCAAACGUUUGGCCAACAGUUUGACUUUCGGUUUUGACCAUCAAUUGGUCAAGUCAAAGUUCAAUUGAACUUUGAAACGUGAUUGUAAUCACGAUAGUUAUAAUCCUUCGUGAUUAUAGCCGCUGAUUACCACGUUAGCUAGUUGUAGUGUCGAGUCAAAGUUUCGGUCAAAAUGCGUUUUAGCAUGCAUUUUGCCUUGGAACUACUUUCGGGUAUCAAAACACUUUUUUUUGAUACCAAAUCAGUAGGUUAGACAUGUUUUGACAUGUCUAACUCGACACUAUUAGUUUGUGCUUGUUUAGGGUCGUAAGUUAAGCGGUCUAAACAACCGCUUAUACUUCCGAACCCGACCCGUUUGGUCGAUCUUUAGGAUCCGACCAAGCUUAGUCAGUGAUCAUAGUUUCAUAGGGAAUAACCACUGAGGUUAUAACCUUAUGAUCACCUAGGAUUGGUUAGUCAUUUGCUAGUUAACUUGUAUGCCCAUAGGAAAUGACCAAAAUGCCCUUUUGAUGCUAAAAUCCGUAUUUUGAUUAUGUGAACAUAUUUUUGACAUGUAAUCCGAUUUAGUAACAUGUUUAGGGAUUAUUGGGCAUGUAAGACUUGGCAUAGCACAUAGUUAACCAUCCGAACAUAGUUUUACGCUAAUGACACCUUAUAGUGACUUAUGUUACCAUAAUGUGUCGAAACGGGUCAAAAGCACUUAGGUGCCGGUUGAUUCCGUGA